AUGGGUCAGCAUUGGGGAGGGGGUCAGAAUGUGACCCCCCCCCCCCACUUGUGUCCCCAUGGCCCUACUCCGGGUUUACUCCACCUUUACACCGCAGUGGGGCUGCUCCGGCCUUACUCAGGCCUUACUCCCUCUUUACUACACUGUUACUCUGAGGUUACACUGUCGGGGUCAGCAUUGCCCCCCACAAUAUACGAUAACGAGGAAGGCUAAUUCCAAUUUUACUCCUCCCUUACUCCAGGUUUACUCAGCCUUUACUCCGGCUUUACUCCAUUCUUAUUCCGGGUUUACUCAGCCACUACACAAGAGUUACACAGAGGUUACUCAGCCAUCACAACAGGCGCACAAACGUUACUCCCAUAUCAGCCUUUGCUGGCAUCUCCCCUUACUCCAACCUUAAUAUAAUGUUACUCAGAGCUUACACCUACUUUACUAUGUCCUGCAACACUUCCAAUCCCACCUUUACUAUGAUGGUACUCCAAAGUUACUCCCAUUUAACUCAGAGGUUACACUGAGGUUACAAUCACUUUAAGGUUACUCUGAGGCCACUUUGAGCUUCCUCAACUCUUACUCUGAACUUACUCCCAAUUUACUCUGAGGAUCCUCCUGCUUUACUCUGAGCUUCCCCAACACUUCCACCUUACUAUGACGUUACUCCAAGGUUGCUCCAGGGUUACUCCCAGUUUACUUCUGAAUUCCCAUCUUACUCCUGCUUUACUCCUUGGGCUCUAUUCCCUUACUACAAGGUUACUCCCCCCCACAUCCCGCCUUACUCCGUGUUGAUUGCUUCAAAUCUACUCCAGCUUUACUCAGAGCUUCCCAUCUGACCUUACUACGACGUUACUAUGCUGUUACUCCGAUGUUACUCCUGGCUUCCCCAUCGCUUCCAUUCCUGCUUUACUCCAUUGUACGUGUUGUUACACCGUGGUUACUCCAAGGUUACUCCUACUUUACUCUUGGUUCCCCCAACAAUUCAACCUCUAUCCAGCAAUACUCCACUAUUACUCCCAGGUUCAUCUUAGGUUACUACGAGGUUCCUAUGAGGUUACUCCGAGGUUACUCCCACUUUACUCCGAGGCUCCCCAACACAUCAACUUGAAUCCAACAUCAUUCAGACUUUAUUUUGUGGUUACUCUGAGGUUACUCUCUGCUUACUCUGAAGUUACUCCAGCUUUACUCCGAGUCCCCCCCCCCACCAAACAACCCCAACCCCACUUUACUCCGGCCUUUACUCCGAGGUUACUCCCCCUUCACUCUGAGGGUCCCCGACCCUUCAACCUCAAUCCACCCUUACACUGACUUUACUCCGAGGUUACUCCAAGGUUACUCCGAGGUUACUCCGAGGUUACUCCCCCCCCCCAGCUCAGGAUGGGCCCCUCCCCCUCCCCACGGCGUGUAUAUAUGUACAUAGGGGGCGGGUUUUGUAUAUGUGGCAUCACUUGGGGGGGGAUGGGGAGGGGGGGGGGAGAUGGAACCUGACCCUAUAGAUUCUAUGGGGGGAGGGAUGAUCCUAUAGGGCAGCUUGAGGGGGGGGAGGGGACCCUUUAUUGCCUGUGGGGAGGGGGCUGACCCUGUUAUAAUGUUUAUGGGGAAUCCGUUCCUAUAGAGUCAAUGUGGAUCCGGACCCUUCAGAGACUAUGGGGGCUGGGGGUCUGACCCUAUAGGGCCUAUGGGGGCUGGGGGUCUGACCCUAUAGGGCCUAUGGGGUCUGGGGGUCUGAUCCUAUAGGGCCUAUGGGGGCUGGGGGUCUGACCCUAUAGGGCCUAUGGGGGCUGGGGGUCUGAUCCUAUAGGGCCUAUGGGGGCUGGGGGUCUGAUCCUAUAGGGCCUAUGGGGGCUGGGGGUCUGAUCCUAUAGGGCCUAUGGGGUCUGAGGGUCUGAACCUAUAGGGCCUAUGGGGGCUGGGGGUCUGAUCCUAUAGGGCCUAUGGGGUCUGGGGGUCUGAUCCUAUAGGGCAUAUUGGGGCUGGGGGUCUGAACUUAUAGGGCCUAUGGGUUACCUCAGCCCUACAGGGUCAGUGGGGUAGCCUGGCCCCAUAGAUCCAAUAUGGGCGGCAUCCCUACAAUGUCUAUGGGGCUGAUUCAUACCCUAUAGCUCCUAUGGGAUAUCUAAGCCCUAUAGGAUCAAUGUGGGAGCCUGGCCCUAUAGAGCCUAUGGGGGGACUGUCCCUAUGGCAUCUAUGGGGCUGAUCCUGACCCUAUAGUGCCUGGGGGGGGGGCUGGGGGGGAGUCAGUAUAGGUGCCAUAGGGGCCCUAUAGGGUCGGGGGGAUCCUACAAGCCCUUCACCCCCAAUGUGUGGGUCGUAUGUGGGGCAGCUCCAAUAAAGGCUGUGAGGGAACAAGGACGGAGUCCUUC
rnacentral:lncRNA from 1 species